rnacentral:rRNA from 1 species
CCUACGGGAGGCAGCAGUGGGGGAUAUUGCACAAUGGGGGGAACCCUGAUGCAGCGACGCCGCGUGGGUGAAGAAGCGCCUCGGCGCGUAAAGCCCUGUCAGCAGGGAAGAAAAUGACGGUACCUGAAGAAGAAGCCCCGGCUAACUACGUGCCAGCAGCCGCGGUAAGACGGAGGGGGCAAGCGCUAGCCGGAUUUACUGGGUGUAAAGGGGGCGCAGACGGCGAUGCAAGCAAGGCGGGAAAGCCCGGGGCCCAACCCCGGGACUGCACUUGGAACUGCGUGGCUGGAGGGCAGGAGGGGCAGGCGGAAUUCCAGGUGUAGCGGUGAAAUGCGUAGAUAUCAGGAGGAACACCGGUGGCGAAGGCGGCCUGCUGGACUGCAACUGACGUUGAGGUCCGAAAGCGUGGGGAGCAAACAGGAUUAGAUACCCUGGUAGUC